GACGAACGCUGGCGGCGUGCUUAACACAUGCAAGUCGAACGGUGAAGCGCCUUCCUUUUUGGUGGGUGUGGAUGAGUGGCGAACGGGUGAGUAACACGUGAGUAACCUGCCCCCUUCUUCUGGAUAACCGCAUGAAAGUGUGGCUAAUACGGGAUAUUCUGGGUCUGUCGCAUGAUGGGUCUGGGAAAGAUAUUGUUUCGGUGGGGGAUGGGCUCGCGGCCUAUCAGCUUGUUGGUGGGGUGAUGGCCUACCAAGGCGGUGACGGGUAGCCGGCCUGAGAGGGUGGACGGUCACACUGGGACUGAGACACGGCCCGGACUCCUACGGGAGGCAGCAGUGGGGAAUAAUGCACAAUGGGCGCAAGCCUGAUGCAGCGACGCCGCGUGAGGGAUGGAGGCCUUCGGGUUGUGAACCUCUUUCGCCAGUGAAGCAGGCCUGCCUCGUUUGUGGGUGGGUCGACGGUAGCUGGAUAAGAAGCGCCGGCUAACUACGUG
rnacentral:rRNA from 1 species